rfam:Deferribacter desulfuricans SSM1 DNA, complete genome.
GGGGGCGAAAGGUUUCGACGGGGAAAUCGUAGGCUUAAGGAGCAUGCCGAGGUCUGGUGCCUCGUAAAACAACCAGACAAAAAUAGUUGCAAACGACGAACUUGCACUCGCUGCUUAAUUAGACAGCGACGUCCACCUGAGGCUUGCCUGCGGCUUCAGGCUGGGCGCCAAUUUAGCAGGCUUUGCCUACUGUGACGCCUCUAAGCAGUAGGCGAGAUUUUAGAGGCUUGCUGCUGGAUACCCUGCCUAUGGGGUCGCCAGCAGGACUAAAAAAACAUAGGCUAAGCAUGUAGCGCCUUAAGCCGAAGUUUCCUCGGACGCGGGUUCGAUUCCCGCCGCCUCCAUAA